rnacentral:lncRNA from 1 species
GUGAUUAGGCAUGACAUGGCUAGAAUGCGGGUUUCCGAGGACAUGAUCCUUGAUAGGAAAGUCUGGAGGUCUAGUAUCAGGGUUGUAGGAUUGGGGCUCUUAGAGUUUUUCGCACUCCUCUCCCGUGGUUGGGUGAGGCUUGACAGGGCUAUCCAUAGAUGAUUUGUGUAUUGGACCGUGUCUUCCUUAUGGUAGUUAUUUAUGGUAGUUACUGUUUGAUAUUAUUGUAUGUUAUUUUAUCUAUGGUUCUUAUGUUUAGAUAAUUUUUUACGCUAUUUUUGGUGGAGUUAUUAAUGCUCUUUUGUUUUUAUUUUUAUUUAUGUUUUUAUUUUUCCUUUCCUUCACUGAGCCGAAGGUCGAUUGGAAACAACCUCUCUGCCCUUUCAGGUAGGGGUAA